rnacentral:lncRNA from 13 species
UUUUCCCACAUUUUUUUCCCCAUUUUCUGAAAGUUUCCCCCCCCUUUUCCCAAUUUUUCCCCCUUUUUCCCAUGGUUUUCCCCAUUUUCUGAAGGUUUUUCCCCCCUUUUCCCAGUUUUUCCCCCUUUUUCCCACCUUUUUCCCCAUUUUCCCAAGGUUUUUUUUCCCCCUUUUCCCAAUUUUUCCCCAUUUUCCCACUUUUUUCCCCAUUUCCCCAAGGUUUUUCCCCCCUUUUCCCAAGAUUUUCCCCCUUUUUCCCAUGGUCUUCCCCAUUUUCCCACAUUUUUUUCCCCAUUUUCUGAAGGUUUUCCCCCCUUUUCCCAAUUUUUUCCCCCUUUUUCCCAAUUUUUUCCCCCUUUUUCCCAAGGUUUAUCCCCCCUUUUCCCAAUUUUUCCCCCCUUUUCCCGAUUUUUCCCCCUUUUUCCCAUGGUUUUUUCCCCCCUUUUCCCAAUUUUUCCCCCCUUUUCCCAAUUUUUUCCCCCCCUUUUCCCAAUUUCCCCCACUCCCUUCCUUCCCAUUCCCCAACCCCUCCCUGCCCCAUUCCCGGGAUCCUCCACAGCUCCGGGAUUCCCCCGGGAUCCCGCCCCGCAGCCCUUCCCGCAAUCCCUGCGCAAUUCCCGCCAUUCCCAAGCAUUCACCUCCUCCUUUUCCCGGUUUUCCAGAGCCUCCGACUCCCGCAGCGAGGGAUGAAGCCCCGGAUGCAGCCGCCAAGGCUUUCCUGGAGACGAGCCGCAGCGGUGCCGAGGCGCUGCUCCGCUUCCACGGCUGCUUCCCGAUGUUCCUGGGCGGGAAGCGGCUCCGCCUGCAGCCGCAGCCGCAGCUCCGCUCGCUGCAGGACCCGGUGAGGGCCGGGCACGGGAUCCUCGGCAAUCCUCGGGAAUCCGGGAAUGCCUUGGGAGUGGGGAAUCCGGGAAUGGCUGGGAAUGGGGAAUCCGGGAAUGUCUGGGGAGUGGGGAAUGCCAGGAGUGCCUUGGGAAUGGGGAAUCCAGGAAUGUCUGGGGAGUGGGGAAUCUGGGAAUGCCUCGGGAAUGGGGAAUGCCUUGGGAAUGUGUGGGGAAUGGGGAAUCCGGGAAUGUGUGGGGAAUGGGGAAUCCGGGAAUCCUCGGGAAUGGGGAAUCUGGGAAUGUCUGGGGAAUGGGGAAUGCCAGGAAUGCCUUGGGAACGGGGAAUCCGGGAAUGCCUCGGGAAUGGGAAAUCCGGGAAUGUCUGGGGAGUGGGGAGUCUGGGAAUGCCUUGGGAAUGGGGAAUCCGGCAAUCCUCGGGAAUGGGGAAUCUGGGAAUGUCUGGGAAUGGGGAAUCCGGGAAUGCCUUGGGAAUGGGGAAUC